UGAUGUUAUAAGGUUUACUGCGAUAACUUUUCUGGGGUUUUGAUUUUCUUUGGCGUUUUCUAGAAAUUUAUUUAUAGAAAAGGAAGAAAAUGAGUUUUUUUUUUUUUUUUGGUUGGCUUAUGGAAAUUUAUAUGUUUAUUUACUUUGAAUAUGAUAGAAGAUUUAGGAGAAAGUUAGGGAUUUUGUUGUAGGUAGGAUAGAGCCAGUGAGAUGAAGAAUGCUUAAUGUUUGUAAUUAGGAUGAACAAACUGGAAUGUAUUCUUAGUAUUACAGUUGAAAUUAUAUAAAUUAGUUAUUUCUCUAGUCAUGUGGUAUGUGACAGUUCAAUGUAGUUGAUUUUUGUGACAGUUAAAGGGACAGACAUUUUGUAUGCAAAAUGACUAAUUCUUCUGCCGGACAAUCCUGAAAACAAAAGGCAGGAUCCUUACAGCCUAAUGAAACAACUUCCUUUAAGCGUAACCGAUGAGUCUUUCAAAAAGAUUUGCAGCACAUGAUGUACGAUUUUGGCAAUGAUCCUAAUCCACUUCCACAAACUUUGACACUUGUGGAGUAAAUAGUUGUGGAAUAUGUCACAAAUUUGAAUGUGCAGUGUUCUAAGGAAGAUUAAGGCCAUUCUUCAUGUGCAAGCUGGAAUUUGUUUGUAUUUCUUCAGAUAGACUGCAGCUCCAUAUUCCUGAAGAUGAAGAGGAUUUUUCGUUCGGCUAUCUUCAUUGAUAUUGUCUUGAAUUUGGUUGAAUAGGCUGGAGAGUUAUGGGUUAUGGGGAUGUUUGUGAAAUUUUGCUGAAGCCUUUUCAAAACUUAUGAUUUUCAAGCCUAUUGCCUAUAGGCAUGGUUUGUGGAGACCAAAAGGAAGCUGUGAUCUCAAGUAUCAAAGUUUUCUUAAAAUCCAGUCAGUUGUGUUCGGUGGACAGUUGCUCUUCUUCUGAUAAGGCAUGGAGCUCCAUUUUGAUUUGGGAGCCAAUGAUCGAUGCACUCCCUUAUUAAAGAGUUGUCUUAUGAAGCCACAAGAAGGAUCCCAUUGCUUCACCUCCUUAGAGAGCUAUAUAUGGCAGAGCUUCCAGAGCCUAAUGUAAUGCCAUAAUCCUAAGAUGAGAUGACGAGUUGAAGUACAACAAUGUAUCAGCACCUAAAAAUUGAUGGUGGUUUGCUUCUCAAAAAUAUGCAUUGCAAGAGCCCAAUUUCCUUCGUCUCUAAACCCCUCUUGGUUGAAAAUUGCUAAUAAGAGGUGAGUAUUUGGGAUAAUAAAGAGUGUACUUGUAAUUAGUGGGGGUGCGACAUUCUUUCAAGAACAAGAUACUUCCCACCUAACAUCACUUUCUGUUUAGGUUUAAGCACAGAAUUCGUGGAUAAAGGGCACUGGAAGAUGAGAAAGUGCAGUGUUCAGUUGUUCUGUGGGGUUGGUAUAUUGCAUAUGAGGUUGUUGAGUCCAAAAUAAGAGUUGAAAUUUAUUUUAACAAAACAACUCUCAGAGCAAACAAGCUAGGAAUUUAAAAUUCACUGGCCCCUUGUAACUCAGAAAACCAUUUUCCAAAGUCACAAACUCUCAAAGGCCUCACGCUUUUCACAACUUAAAUAUUCAUUUAUGCAUGUAAUAGUUUCUUCUUAGUACAAUAAAACAAAAAUCUCCCAAUUA